GAAGCAGUUCUGGGUGUGAGCAGAAUGGAGAGUCUGGUACGGAAUGUCUACGAGAGUGGUGACUUCUGGGCUGGAGUGAGCUUUGAAUUAGCUGAUGCGGGAAGAUGUGGGUUGCUGCCCCUGGGAGCUGUCCAGGAGACUCCGCAUGCCUUUGCGUCGGUGCUGCAUUCUGAAAGGCCCCCACUGUAAUUCAGCAAACCCAGCUUGCACUUGAAGCCAAAUGAAAUGCAAAGAUCUUUUCAACAGCAAACCUCAACCUCACGGAGGAAAAAAGCCGGCUAGAGACUGUGAGACGUUCCAACUACUGUAACCACCCCUCCCCCCCAACCCCGGACCCUCAUUGGAUUUUACCGCUCGGCUCGACGCCCCGUGGUCGACGCCCGUGAGAAAAAACAUCGGGGAGGCUCUUUUAAAAAUGGCUACGUUAUCAAUUAAUCUAUAGCAUGUUUCAAAUAAAUAUUUCCAGUAAAUGGAACAGAACCC
rnacentral:lncRNA from 1 species